rnacentral:rRNA from 1 species
UACGUAGGGGGCAAGCGUUGUCCGGAAUCAUUGGGCGUAAAGGGCGCGUAGGCGGCCGCCUAAGUCAGACGUGAAAUCCCUCGGCUCAACCGGGGAACUGCGUCUGAUACUGGAAGGCUUGAAUCCGGGAGAGGGAUGCGGAAUUCCAGGUGUAGCGGUGAAAUGCGUAGAUAUCUGGAGGAACACCGGUGGCGAAGGCGGCGUUCUGGACUGCAACUGACACUGAGGAACGAAAGCCAGGGGAGCAAACGGG